AUUGAACGCUGGCGGCAGGCUUAACACAUGCAAGUCGAACGAGUGGCGGACGGGUGAGUAAUGCUUGGAAUUCUAGCUUAUGGAGGGGGCUACCAACGGGAACCUGUAGCUAAUACCGCGUACCAUAGGAUGAGCCCAAUGUGGCUUAGGUAGUUGGUGAGGUAACGGCUCACCAAGCGGACGAUCUCUAGCUGGUCUGAGAGGAUGACCAGCCACACUGGGACGUAGACACGGCCCAGACUCCUACGGGAGGCAGCAGUGGGGAAUAUUGCGCAAUGGGGGCAACCUGACGCAGCAAUGCCGCGUGAAUGAAGAAGGCCUUCGGGUUGUAAAGUUCUGUCGGUAGCGAAGCGUUAACUACAGAAGAAGCACCGGCUAACUCCGUGCCAGCAGCCGCGGUAAUUC
rnacentral:rRNA from 1 species